AAAGCAUUGGAAAUAGAGCAGACAAUAUGGAAGAGAGAAUUAAUAUAUAACAUCAGAAAGAGGUCACCACCAGAUCUGCACUAAAAGAAACAUUAAAGGACCUCCUUGAAGCAAAAGGUUGGGUUGGCACAUUACCGUUCUGCUUGCCUUUCUACAGGGCAUUUUCAAUUUCUCUUCUGCAUAGAACAGAAGAGGCUCCUGCAUCACAGAGCUGAUUUUCCUAGCAGAGGGACCCAGACUAAGAAGAAAUCUCUUGGAUUUAAAGAACUUUUCAUCACUCUGUUCAACUACUUUCUGUACAACAAAGAGCUGGAUGUGGACCACUACCAACAAUAAGAGUUCCCCAUCUCACGAAUGUCCAAUAUGAAGGUCUGGCACCUUGCCUUCCAAUAUGGAAUAUACGGUGUUCGCAGGCUCACCUUCUAAACCUAGAACGAGGACAGUUAUCCCUUCUCUUGUUGCAUCUCUGAAGUUCUUCAGUUACUCAAUUUGUGGACUUAGAAUAGCACAUCGUCCAGCCACAUUUAUUCUAAACAGAUGGUCUGGACCCAGAGAGAUGGCAGCCAAUGAUCUUAACCACUGUGCUCACAGCUUAUCUUUUCAUGGAAAGGUGAAGAGAUGUCAAGUGCAACCAUCCCACCAAGUACGCGCACACACGGCCCAUUUGUUUAAUCAAACUGGAAAUUACAGGAUAAUGUAUUAUGUUCACUUAUUUUAAGUCACAAUUGAUAUUGAAAAUAAAUACUGAAAUGGCAAGUUAUAUAAAUGGCAAAGUGCUUUUAUUGUGGGUAUUGGCUCCAGUUUGGUGAGUGGUGAGAGAUUAACAUAGAGUUCACU
rnacentral:lncRNA from 1 species